rnacentral:lncRNA from 1 species
GUUAGCAUGCUUUGUAUUUUGAGAUAGACAAGAUAGCACAUUUGCUUUUUUUGAGAUAGCAACUCUUUUGAGAUAGUGAUCUUAGCAAAUUUUACAUCAUGCAAGGUAGCAAAUUUUUGUGAUGUUCAAAAUAGUAAGUUCUUUCUUCUCUUUAGAGAAGUGCUAUUUUUGCUUCCUUUACAAAGUGCAAGCUAGCAAAGUUUUUGAAAAAGUGAGCAAGUUUUGCAACAUACAAGCUAGUAAAAAUUUCGAAAGCAAAUGCAAGAUAGCUUUCUU